rnacentral:rRNA from 1 species
AGAGUUUGAUCCUGGCUCAGGACGAACGCUGGCGGCGUGCUUAACACAUGCAAGUCUACGAGAAAAGAGUAGCAAUAUUCUGAGUAAAGUGGCGCAAGGGUGCGUAACUCGUAAGCAAUCUACCUUUAGAAGGGGAAUAACCCAGCGAAAGCCGGACUAAUACCCCAUAAUGCAGCGGAACCGCAUGGUUAUGUUGUUAAAGUCUAUAUGACGUCUAGAGAUGAGCUUGCGUCUGAUUAGCUAGUUGGUGAGGUAACGGCUCACCAAGGCGACGAUCAAUAGCCGACCUGAGAGGGUGAUCGGCCACACUGGAACUGAGACACGGUCCAGACUCCUACGGGAGGCAGCAGUGGGGAAUAUUGCACAAUGGGCGCAAGCCUGAUGCAGCAACGCCGCGUGAGUGAUGAAGGCCUUCGGGUCGUAAAACUCUGUCCUAUGGGAAGAAAAAAAUGACGGUACCAUAGGAGGAAGCCCCGGCUAACUACGUGCCAGCAGCCGCGGUAAUACGUAGGGGGCAAGCGUUAUCCGGAAUCACUGGGCGUAAAGGGUGCGUAGGUGGCUCAUCAAGCCAGAGGUGAAAGGCAUUGGCUCAACCAAUGUAAGCCUUUGGAACUGACGAGCUUGAGUGCAGGAGAGGUAAGUGGAAUUCCUAGUGUAGAGGUGAAAUUCGUAGAUAUUAGGAGGAACACCAGUGGCGAAGGCGACUUACUGGACUGUAACUGACACUGAGGCACGAAAGCGUGGGGAGCGAACAGGAUUAGAUACCCUGGUAGUCC